rnacentral:rRNA from 1 species
GCAUAUAUACCGUGAAACUGCGAAUGGCUCAUUAAAUCAGUUAUCGUUUAUUUGAUAGUACCUUACUACUUGGAUAACCGUGGUAAUUCUAGAGCUAAUACAUGCUAAAAACCUCGACUUCGGAAGGGGUGUAUUUAUUAGAUAAAAAACCAAUGCCCUUCGGGGCUCCUUGGUGAUUCAUAAUAACUUAACGAAUCGCAUGGCCUUGUGCCGGCGAUGGUUCAUUCAAAUUUCUGCCCUAUCAACUUUCGAUGGUAGGAUAGUGGCCUACCAUGGUUUCAACGGGUAACGGGGAAUUAGGGUUCUAUUCCGGAGAGGGAGCCUGAGAAACGGCUACCACAUCCAAGGAAGGCAGCAGGCGCGCAAAUUACCCAAUCCCGACACGGGGAGGUAGUGACAAUAAAUACUGAUACAGGGCUCUUUUGGGUCUUGUAAUUGGAAUGAGUACAAUUUAAAUCCCUUAACGAGGAACAAUUGGAGGGCAAGUCUGGUGCCAGCAGCCGCGGUAAUUCCAGCUCCAAUAGCGUAUAUUAAAGUUGUUGCAGUUAAAAAGCUCGUAGUUGAACCUUGGGCCUGGCUGGCCGGUCCGCCUCACCGCGUGCACUGGUCCGGCCGGGCCUUUCCUUCUGGGGAGCCGCAUGCCCUUCACUGGGUGUGUCGGGGAACCAGGACUUUUACUUUGAAAAAAUUAGAGUGUUCAAAGCAGGCCUAUGCUCGAAUACAUUAGCAUGGAAUAAUAGAAUAGGACGUGUGGUUCUAUUUUGUUGGUUUCUAGGACCGCCGUAAUGAUUAAUAGGGAUAGUCGGGGGCAUCAGUAUUCAAUUGUCAGAGGUGAAAUUCUUGGAUUUAUUGAAGACUAACUACUGCGAAAGCAUUUGCCAAGGAUGUUUUCAUUAAUCAGUGAACGAAAGUUAGGGGAUCGAAGACGAUCAGAUACCGUCGUAGUCUUAACCAUAAACUAUGCCGACUAGGGAUCGGGCGAUGUUAUCUUUUUGACUCGCUCGGCACCUUACGAGAAAUCAAAGU